rnacentral:rRNA from 1 species
ACGUACGCAACUUACCCAGAACUGGUGAAUAGCCCUCCGAAAGGAGGAUUAAUACACCGUAAGCUAAUUGGAUGGCAUCAUUUGAUUAGUAUAGCUCCGGCGGUUUUGGAUGGGCGUGCGCCUGAUUAGGUAGUUGGUGUAGGUAACGGCUCACCAAGCCAUCGAUCAGUAACUGGUGUGAGAGCACGACCAGUCACACGGGCACUGAGACACGGGCCCG